CAGCAGCCGCCACGGGAAUACGUAGGUGGCAAGCGUUGUCCGGAAUUACUGGGCGUAAAGGGCUCGCAGGCGGUUUCUUAAGCCUGAUGUGAAAGCCCCCGGCUCAACCGGGGAGGGUCAUUGGAAACUGGGAAACUUGAGUGCAGAAGAGGAGAGUGGAAUUCCACGUGUAGCGGUGAAAUGCGUAGAGAUGUGGAGGAACGCCAACCGCGAAGGCAGCUCUCUGGGUCCCCACUGACGCUGGGGUGCGAAAGCAUGGGGAGCAAACAGGAUCAGAUACCCGCGUAGUCCCUGUCUCUUAUAC
rnacentral:rRNA from 1 species